GCAGGAGAAUCGCUGGAACCUGAGAGGUGGAGGUUGCAGUGAGGUGAGAUUGUACCACUGCACUCCAGUCUGGGCAACAGAGCAAGACUUGGUCUACACACUUUGUAAUCUAAAACAUUCUCUACCAAUACUGUAAUCAGUGAAUUCUUGCUUUAUUGAUACAUUCUAGUAUUCAGUGGUGAUUUUAAUACACUGUUUUGGUACUUUCUGCUUUCAGUUUUCAUUGCUGUGGCCAUUGCCUUAAACAGAAAUAAAAAACUAAAACAAUUUUACAACCAUCCAAAAGAGGCUUGGAAACUUUUUUUUGGCUAGAUGUCCAUAGCACAAUUUAAUUCAGUAAACAUAAACAGUUAAAAUUAUUCCAGUACAAAACCAUGUUUUAAAAAAGAGAUUACACCCAAUUUUGGCAACAACACCCAGGAAAUAAGCAUUCUUUUACAUUUGGUUCAAACUUUCUGAAUGGCAGUUGUGCAACACUUGUUGUGAAAAGCUUUAGAAUAUUAUAUACAUGUUAAUCCCAUAUUUUCAUUUCUAUGAAUUCAUCCAAAAGAGAUAACAAUGGUUGUGGGUAGAGACAGAGCCGUAUGGAAUGCACACCGCAGUGAUGAACAGUGGUCCAGUUCUGCCAUUAAGGAGCCUGAUGAGGGAGCUUGCCGUCGUCAUCCCUGAGUUAUGAAUCAGGAAGCAGAGGCCCAGGUUGCCAGCGUGUUACCUGAGGGCACAAGGCUAGUGAGCAGCAGCACUGAGGCACUGCAGCCCAGCCCAGCAGCGAGGUGUGUUGCCGUGUACUGCUUCCCAGGGUGCGGGACUGCACACACUCAGCAUCGACAGAGUUCUGCUCAGAGAAGCUGGAAUGGACCAAAAGCCAGGGAAGGGGCUGGUGGAAACCCAGGCAGGCCUCCGUCACGUGGCAUGAUCCUAGGAGAUGGAAAUAUUGUACAAAGAAGCAAGAUGCCUGGCACCAACUUCCUUGCUGCGCUGAAUGACAAAUCCAAGAUGGUUGGCCAGGCACGGUGGCUCACACCUGUAAUCCCAGCACUUUGGGAGGCCAAGGCAGGUGGAUCACUUGAGGUCAGGAGUUUGAGACCAACUUGGCCAACAUGGUGAA